CUUUUUAACCUUGAAAUAUAUUGAACCCUAAAUAAGAUUAGAAUUAUUUUGUUGUUCAUUUUAAUUUUCAGCCGUAAGGGGUCGUUUGGUAGUUGAUUAGACUUAUGCAGGCAGUGUAUUAGUUAGGAGGGAAUAUAUGUAUUAUUUUAUGAACGGUUUAGUUAUUUAUGUACUACUUAUUAUUUAUUCCACCUGCGAGUUUCUAAUGCGAACCAAACAUGUAAUAAUUUUAUACAUGACCAGCUACCAAAUGUGGUAUAAUAAUUGUUUUUUUUUUUACCAACAUUAUGUUUGUGAUAAUACAAUUUAGUUAGGGAAAGUGACAUUUUU